GAGAGAGGAGGGGGACAGUGGCGGCCUGGAGAGCCUUAGGAACCCGGGUUCCAAUCCUACUCGCCAGUGUGAGAGAGCGUUUGCCCGGCGGCGCGGGUGGUGAGACCCAAUACGCAUCUCACGGGGUUGUGUGCAGUGUCUUGCUUUUUUGCCCAGGCUGGAGUGCAGUGGAAUAAUCAUGGAUUACUUCAGUCUCAACCUCCCAGUCACAAAUAAUCCUCCUGCCUCAGCCUCCUGGGUAACCGGGGUUACAGAGAAGCCUGCUUUGGAAUUUUGAGCAAACAUCAGUCACAGCUCCACAGCUAUGGAUUUUAUGUGAAAUUACAGCCAGAAGAAGAGGAAGAGGGAGAGGAGCAGCUGGAAGACUUCCUGGGGGAGGAGUCUGUGAAGGGCUGUUCCCUGGCAGAGCAUGCAGACCUGUUCUGUGGGACCCCUGACGGAGGGCACAAGGAGGAAGCUCUCAAGCCUGUAAAAAGACCCUCGCAUAGUCAAGUAUUCCCAAAGAUGAGAUGGACUGACUUUGAAAGCAGUGAGCUCCCUGAUCUGGGAAGUAUGCAGGCAGAAGCUGAACAGGCAAUUAUUAGAGAUCCUGCAGAGUGGCUUCUUGUUCUGGGCGUGGAACUGCAGUGGACUGCACCUUUGAGGUACUUCCAGGACUCAUGUUCUAAGCUGCCAAGAGAUUUCAGAGAUUAAACAUGUCACAUCAUUGCCAUUGCCCCUCUUCCAACUUUGAGGCAUCCUCCUCCUCCCAGGAUCCAAAUCCAUGGCCUUGAAUGAUGGAAAGUAAGACAUCAAGAAUAGGUCAUAGUUAAAGUGUUCCAACUAAUCAAGGAAAAAAAAAAAAGGCAGAAUUUGGUAUCACCUAUUACUUUGCAAUACCCGCAGAAUUAAUGGAGCUAGACAUUGAAUGUCGAUGGCUGCUAACAAUCUUGGAAAGAGAUGUAGCUGGACCCUGUGUGCUCCUGACAAAAGCAUGCAACCCCAUCUAUCAUCUUGCCAAAGGGGUUUGAGCCUAAGUGUUAUCUGCUCUCUGGAUCCAGCUGACAAUUUGAAGGAAAAACAGGACAGAAGUGCAUGGUGAAUGGCAUCAUGAAUCGGCCAGCAGCAAAAUCCAGACUAUGGAAACUCUGUAGGUCAAAGAGCCAGGGUGCUUCCAUGGAUAAACUGUCAGGUAAAGCAAGGGACGGAGGCGGAAGGCUGGGGAUUACACGAGACCUGAAACAUCAAAUGUAGGAAAUGAACACGACUGAAUGAUUGUGUCUAGGGAUAUACAUUUAGGUGAUCCAAUUAUAAGGAAAAGCAAGAAAACAGUAUUUAUAAAAGUUAGAAUUGGUGGUUACUUUUGCAGAAGAGAGAGGAGGCACCUGGAGAGGCUUCUGUGGUGGCUGACACGCUUUAUUUCUUACCUUGGGAAUGGUUACAAAGGUAUUCACCUUAGCCUGAUUCAUUAAAUGAAAUGUUUGCUUUGUGUGGUUGUCUGUUGUUUUAUAAUAAAAGGUUAAAAAGACUGAGUCACAGAUGCAGCAUUCUGGUCUUACCCCCAAGCUCCUACAUAUUGGCAGCCCUUGUCUGCUUGGAGUUG